rnacentral:rRNA from 1 species
UGGGGAAUAUUGGACAAUGGGCGCAAGCCUGAUCCAGCCAUACCGCGUGGGUGAAGAAGGCCUUCGGGUUGUAAAGCCUUUGUUGGGAAGAAUCCAGCCGGCUAAUACCUGGUUGGGAUGACGGUACCCAAGAAUAAGCACCGGCUAACUUCGUGCCAGCAGCCGCGGUAAUACGAAGGGUGCAAGCGUUACUCGGAAUUACUGGGCGUAAAGCGUGCGUAGGUGGUCGUUUAAGUCCGUUGUGAAAGCCCUGGGCUCAACCUGGGAACUGCAGUGGAUACUGGGCGACUAGAGUGUGGUAGAGGGUAGCGGAAUUCCUGGUGUAGCAGUGAAAUGCGUAGAGAUCAGGAGGAACAUCCAUGGCGAAGGCAGCUACCUGGACCAACACUGACACUGAGGCACGAAAGCGU